rnacentral:rRNA from 1 species
GAUGAACGCUAGCGGCAGGCCUAAUACAUGCAAGUCGAACGGUGUCUUCGGACAUAGUGGCGCACGGGUGCGUAACACGUAUGCAACCUACCUUACAUUGGGGGAUAGCCUUUCGAAAGGGAGAUUAAUACCGCAUAAGACAGUAGCUGGGCAUCCAGCAGCUGUUAAAGAUUUAUCGAUGUAAGCUGGGCAUGCGUCCAAUUAGCUAGUUGGUGAGGUAACGGCUCACCAAGGCAAUGAUUGGUAGGGGAACUGAGAGGUCAAUCCCCCACACUGGCACUGAGAUACGGGCCAGACUCCUACGGGAGGCAGCAGUAGGGAAUAUUGGGCAAUGGACGCAAGUCUGACCCAGCCAUGCCGCGUGCAGGAUGAAGGUGUUAUGCGUUGUAAACUGCUUUUAUACAGGAAGAAACGACUCUUGCGAGAGGCAUUGACGGUACUGUAUGAAUAAGCACCGGCUAACUCCGUGCCAGCCGCCACCGUAAGAC